rfam:Bursaphelenchus xylophilus, Ka4C1 (inbred line), WGS project CADV01000000 data, contig: scaffold01099
CCGACCAUAGCUCAGUUGGUAGAGCGGAGGACUGUAGUUCCAACGGAAAUCCUUAGGUCGCUGGUUCGAAUCCGGCUGGUCGGA